GGCAGGUGUGUCACAUUCCGCUCAGCCCUGGGACUGCCACGGCACCAGCUCAGCCUGCAGGGCCCAGUUCUCCUGCAGCAGGCGGGAGAGCACCCCUUCUCACUGGGAAAAGAUGGGGGCAGAGAAAGGA